UACGUAGGGUGCAAGCGUUGUUCGGAAUUACUGGGCGUAAAGGGCGCGUAGGCGGGCCCGUAUGUCGAUUGUGAAAGCCCUGGGCUUAACCCGGGAAUGGCAGUCGAAACUGCGGGUCUUGAGUGCCUGAGAGGAUGGCGGAAUUCCCGGUGUAGAAGUGAAAUUCGUAGAUAUCGGGAAGAACACCUGAGGCGAAGGCGGCUGUCUGGCGGUGCACUGACGCUGAGGCGCGAAAGCGUGGGGAGCAAACAGG
rnacentral:rRNA from 1 species